GGCUCAGGAUGAACGCUAGCUACAGGCUUAACACAUGCAAGUCGCGGGGCAGCAUAUAGAUAGCUUGCUAUUAUGAUGGCGACCGGCGCACGGGUGAGUAACGCGUAUCCAACCUUCCCCAUAGUAGGGUAUAGCCCGGCGAAAGUCGGAUUAAUCCCCUAUGUUGUUUGAAGCGGACAUCUAAUUCAAACCAAAGAUUCAUCGCUAUGGGAUGGGGAUGCGUCUGAUUAGGUUGCAGGCGGGGUAACGGCCCACCUGGCCGACGAUCAGUAGGGGUUCUGAGAGGAAGGUCCCCCACACUGGUACUGAGACACGGACCAGACUCCUACGGGAGGCAGCAGUGAGGAAUAUUGGUCAAUGGGCGCGAGCCUGAACCAGCCAAGUAGCGUGCAAGGAUGACGGCCCUACGGGUUGUAAACUGCUUUUAUGCGGGGAUAAAGUGCGGCACGUGUGCCGUUUUGCAGGUACCGCAUGAAUAAGGACCGGCUAAUUCCGUGCCAGCAGCCGC
rnacentral:rRNA from 1 species